rnacentral:rRNA from 1 species
GAUGAACGCUGACAGAAUGCUUAACACAUGCAAGUCUUUGGCGAAGCUGUGCUUGCACAGCCUAGCCAAGGCGGACGGGUGAGUAACGCGUAAGGAACUUGCCCUGCAGUCAGGGAUAACAGACGGAAACGACUGAUAAGACCUGGUAAAGUCAGGCGGACUCAUGUCCAGCCUGAUGAAAAGAGAUGCUGCAGGAGAGCCUUGCGUCCUAUUAGCUUGUUGGUGGGGUAACGGCCCACCAAGGCGAUGAUAGGUAGCCGGCCUGAGAGGGUGGACGGCCACAAGGGGACUGAGAUACGGCCCUUACUCCUACGGGAGGCAGCAGUGGGGAAUAUUGGACAAUGGGGGCAACCCUGAUCCAGCAAUUCUGUGUGCGCGAUGAAGGUUUUCGGAUUGUAAAGUGCUUUCAGCAGGGAAGAAAAAAUGACGGUACCUGCAGAAGAAGCGACGGCUAAAUACGUG